CUGGGUUGUAUUCUAUGAGCCUGUGUUGAUCAGAUGUACGCCUACCUGCCCUGUAAUAUUAUGUCUGACAACGUGUGCUGCCCAUUUUUUGUGUCUGUCUCAAGGUCACCUGACAAAACUGGGUUCAUUAAUAAAUGCCAGGUGUGAACUUGAGGUUAAUAGCUGAGUGAAAUUAUGUAUACAUUCAACUGCAAUUCAUUGCUGUUUUCCUGGUAGCUAGAAAAUGGGUUGAUAACCCGGUCCAUCAGUGAAAGUGGCCACGCAGUUCACUUUGAAUGACAGAAACUGAAUUCAUGAUUAUGAUAAACAAUGACUUUUCCUAAACUUUGAAGGGAGUUUUGCAUCAAGUUGCUUUACUGUCAGGGAACUUGUCACUUGCGGAUGUGUUUGAUGUUUAGAGCCACACUUCCUCGUUCCUAAGGCCACAACCUGGGCACAGAGGCACAAAUUAUGGUCUCAGGGAAAAGGUUGCUGUCCUACACAGAACAGAUGUGACUCAUCCCAAACCUGAUGUAUCAACUUCAAAUUAAAUAUAGAGAACAAUGGUCUAUUGUCCUUAGUUGAGGAGCUGGUUUAGAAAUCAACUUUUGCAGAGUAAAAAAAUACUCUAGGAUUUGUAUGGUAACCGUGGCAAAGUUCUCCUGUGAGCUGAAGGUAACAAGUGUAAGCCACAGCAGACAGUAUAGUCACAGAAAACACUGCUAUGUCCAAUGUCUGGUUGGAGUGGAAACUUCUGAAAGAAACAAAAAAAGCAACAAAUCAGCUCAAUGGAGUUGAAACAUCUACACAACAAGAAGACAACAACCGAAGUUAGAAAACUG